rnacentral:rRNA from 1 species
UACGUAGGUGACAAGCGUUGUCCGGAUUUACUGGGCGUAAAGAGCGCGCAGGCGGUCGUUCAAGUCGAGUGUGAAAGCCCCCGGCUCAACUGGGGAGGGUCACUCGAUACUGAUCGACUCGAAGGCAGGUGAGGGAAGUGGAAUUCCCGGUGUAGUGGUGAAAUGCGUAGAUAUCGGGAGGAACACCAGUGGCGAAGGCGACUUCCUGGCCUGUUCUUGACGCUGAGGCGCGAAAGCUAGGGGAGCAAACGGG